GGGGCCCAGAGUCGGGAAACCUUUACACUGCACGAAGGUGCGAUAAGGGGACUCCGAGUGCGAGGGCAUACAGUCCUCGCUAUUGUGUACCGUAGGGUGGUACACGACCAAGAGCUGGGCAAGACCGGUGCCAGCCGCCGCGGUAAUACCGGCAGCUCGAGUGAUGGCCGAUUUUAUUGGGCCUAAAGCGUCCGUAGCUGGCCCUGCAAGUCCGUCGGGAAAUCCACUCGCCUAACGAGUGGGCGUCCGGCGGAAACUACAGGGCUUGGGACCGGAAGACUUGAGGGGUACGUCUGGGGUAGGAGUGAAAUCCUGUAAUCCUGGACGGACCGCCGAUGGCGAAAGCACCUCAAGACGACGGAUCCGACAGUGAGGGACGAAAGCUAGGGUCUCGAACCGGAUUAGAUACCCGGGUAGUCCUAGCCGUAAACGAUGUUCGCUAGAUGUGGCACAGGCUACGUGCCUGUGCUGUGUCGUAGGGAAGCCGAGAAGCGAACCGCCUGGGAAGUACGUCCGCAAGGAUGAAACUUAAAGGAAUUGGCGGGGGAGCACUACAACCGGAGGAGCCUGCGGUUUAAUUGGACCAA
rnacentral:rRNA from 1 species